AGAGUUUGAUCAUGGCUCAGGAUGAGCGCUGGCGGCGUGCCUAAUACAUGCAAGUCGAGCGGUAAGGCCUCUUCGGAGGUACACGAGCGGCGGACGGCUGAGUAACACGUAGGAACGUACCCCAAAGUGAGGGAUAACUGCUCGAAAGAGUAGCUAAUACCGCAUGUGAUCUAAGGAUUAAAGCUUUAUGCGCUUUGGGAACGGCCUGCGUCCGAUUAGCUAGUUGGUAGUGUAAUAGACUACCAAGGCGAUGAUCGGUAGCUGGUCUGAGAGGAUGAUCAGCCAGACUGGGACUGAGACACGGCCCAGACUCCUACGGGAGGCAGCAGUAGGGAAUUUUCCACAAUGGACGAAAGUCUGAUGGAGCAACGCCGCGUGCAGGAUGAAUGUCUUCGGAUUGUAAACUGCUUUUGUUGGUGACGAUUAUGACGGUAACCAACGAAUAAGGGUCUGCUAACUACGUGCCAGCAGCCGCGGUCAUACGUAGGACCCAAGCGUUAUCCGGAAUUACUGGGCGUAAAGAGUUGCGUAGGUGGCAUAGUAAGUAGAUAGUGAAAGCGUGUGGCUCAACCAUACAUCCAUUAUCUAAACUGCUAAGCUAGAAGAUGAGAGAGGUAGAUGGAAUUCCUGAUGUAGGGGUAAUAUCCGUAGAUAUCAGGAGGAACACCGAUGGCGUAGGCAGUCUACUGGCUCAUUCUUGACACUAAGGCACGAAAGCGUGGGUAGCAAACAGGAUUAGAUACCCCCGUAGUCC
rnacentral:rRNA from 1 species